rnacentral:rRNA from 1 species
AGUGAACGCUGGCGGUAGGCCUAACACAUGCAAGUCGAACGGCAGCACAGUAAGAGCUUGCUCUUACGGGUGGCGAGUGGCGGACGGGUGAGGAAUACAUCGGAAUCUACUUUUUCGUGGGGGAUAACGUAGGGAAACUUACGCUAAUACCGCAUACGACCUACGGGUGAAAGCAGGGGAUCUUCGGACCUUGCGCGAUUGAAUGAGCCGAUGUCGGAUUAGCUAGUUGGCGGGGUAAAGGCCCACCAAGGCGACGAUCCGUAGCUGGUCUGAGAGGAUGAACAGGCAAACUGGAACUGAGACACGGUCCAGAAUCCUACGGGAGGCAGCAGGGGGGAAUAUUGGACAAUGGGCGCAAGCCUGAUCCAGCCAUACCGCGUGGGUGAAGAAGGCCUUCGGGUUGUAAAGCCCUUUUGUUGGGAAAGAAAAGCAGCAGGUUAAUACCCCGCUGUUCUGACGGUACCCAAAGAAUAAGCACCGGCUAACUUCGUG